rnacentral:rRNA from 1 species
CCUACGGGGGGCAGCAGUGGGGAAUAUUGCACAAUGGGCGCAAGCCUGAUGCAGCCAUGCCGCGUGUAUGAAGAAGGCCUUCGGGUUGUAAAGUACUUUCAGCGGGGAGGAAGGUGUUGAGGUUAAUAACCUCAGCAAUUGACGUUACCCGCAGAAGAAGCACCGGCUAACUCCGUGCCAGCAGCCGCGGUAAUACGGAGGGUGCAAGCGUUAAUCGGAAUUACUGGGCGUAAAGCGCACGCAGGCGGUCUGUCAAGUCGGAUGUGAAAUCCCCGGGCUCAACCUGGGAACUGCAUUCGAAACUGGCAGGCUGGAGUCUUGUAGAGGGGGGUAGAAUUCCAGGUGUAGCGGUGAAAUGCGUAGAGAUCUGGAGGAAUACCGGUGGCGAAGGCGGCCCCCUGGACAAAGACUGACGCUCAGGUGCGAAAGCGUGGGGAGCAAACAGGAUUAGAUACCCCAGUAGUC